rnacentral:rRNA from 1 species
AACGCGUAGAAAUCUGCCUGGUAGUGGGGGAUAGCCCAGAGAAAUUUGGAUUAAUACCGCAUACGCCCUACGGGGGAAAGCAGGGGACCUUCGGGCCUUGCGCUAUCAGAUGAGUCUGCGUCGGAUUAGCUUGUUGGUGAGGUAAUGGCUCACCAAGGCGACGAUCCGUAGCUGGUCUGAGAGGAUGAUCAGCCACACUGGGACUGAGACACGGCCCAG